UUUUCUGCCAACUUCUGAAAUAUUACAAACAUAAUUAUUCAACCCCAUACAAUUCCAAACAAGACUCUUUCAACCCUUUGAAUAGGGUGAUAACAUUGUUUUUCACUUUUCAGCUUGUAAUGAGUUUUAAACAAAAAAAAGGAUAAUAGGCUCAAUGAGGUUUCAAAUAAGAGAUGAAAUUAUUUCAGGGUUGACUUUUUGGCUAACUGGCUAAAAAACAAAAAAAAAACCGUCUUUAUCAUAUCAGUGUGCACAAGUAAACAACAACAUCAACAAGAGUCAAUUCAAG
rnacentral:lncRNA from 1 species